CUACGGGUCGCUGCAGUGGGGAAUAUUGCAUAAUGGGCGCAAGCCUGAUGCAGCCAUGCCGCGUGUAUGAAGAAGGCCUUCGGGUUGUAAAGUACUUUCAGCGGGGAGGAAGGGAGUAAAGUUAAUACCUUUGCUCAUUGACGUUACCCGCAGAAGAAGCACCGGCUAACUCCGUGCCAGCAGCCGCGGUAAUACGGAGGGUGCAAGCGUUAAUCGGAAUUACUGGGCGUAAAGCGCACGCAGGCGGUUUGUUAAGUCAGAUGUGAAAUCCCCGGGCUCAACCUGGGAACUGCAUCUGAUACUGGCAAGCUUGAGUCUCGUAGAGGGGGGUAGAAUUCCAGGUGUAGCGGUGAAAUGCGUAGAGAUCUGGAGGAAUACCGGUGGCGAAGGCGGCCCCCUGGACGAAGACUGACGCUCAGGUGCGAAAGCGUGGGGAGCAAACAGGAUUAGAUACCCCAGUAGUC
rnacentral:rRNA from 1 species